GACGAACGCUGGCGGCGUGCUUAACACAUGCAAGUCGAACGGAAAGGCCCUGCUUUUGUGGGGUGCUCGAGUGGCGAACGGGUGAGUAACACGUGAGUAACCUGCCCUUGACUUUGGGAUAACUUCAGGAAACUGGGGCUAAUACCGGAUAGGAGCUCCUGCUGCAUGGUGGGGGUUGGAAAGUUUCGGCGGUUGGGGAUGGACUCGCGGCUUAUCAGCUUGUUGGUGGGGUAGUGGCUUACCAAGGCUUUGACGGGUAGCCGGCCUGAGAGGGUGACCGGCCACAUUGGGACUGAGAUACGGCCCAGACUCCUACGGGAGGCAGCAGUGGGGAAUAUUGCACAAUGGGCGGAAGCCUGAUGCAGCAACGCCGCGUGCGGGAUGACGGCCUUCGGGUUGUAAACCGCUUUCGCCUGUGACGAAGCGUGAGUGACGGUAAUGGGUAAAGAAGCACCGGCUAACUACGUGCCAGCAGCCGCGGUGAUACGUAGGGUGCGAGCGUUGUCCGGAUUUAUUGGGCGUAAAGGGCUCGUAGGUGGUUGAUCGCGUCGGAAGUGUAAUCUUGGGGCUUAACCCUGAGCGUGCUUUCGAUACGGGUUGACUUGAGGAAGGUAGGGGAGAAUGGAAUUCCUGGUGGAGCGGUGGAAUGCGCAGAUAUCAGGAGGAACACCAGUGGCGAAGGCGGUUCUCUGGGCCUUUCCUGACGCUGAGGAGCGAAAGCGUGGGGAGCGAACAGGCUUAGAUACCCUGGUAGUCCACGCUGUAAACGGUGGGUACUAGGUGUGGGGUCCAUUCCACGGGUUCCGUGCCGUAGCUAACGCUUUAAGUACCCCGCCUGGGGAGUACGGCCGCAAGGCUAAAACUCAAAGGAAUUGACGGGGCCCCGCACAAGCGGCGGAGCAUGCGGAUUAAUUCGAUGCAACGCGUAGAACCUUACCUGGGUUUGACAUGGAUCGGGAGCGCUCAGAGAUGGGUGUGCCUCUUUUGGGGUCGGUUCACAGGUGGUGCAUGGCUGUCGUCAGCUCGUGUCGUGAGAUGUUGGGUUAAGUCCCGCAACGAGCGCAACCCUUGUUCACUGUUGCCAGCACGUUAUGGUGGGGACUCAGUGGAGACCGCCGGGGUCAACUCGGAGGAAGGUGGGGAUGACGUCAAGUCAUCUUGCCCCUUAUGUCCAGGGCUUCACGCAUGCUACAAUGGCUGGUACAGAGAGUGGCGAGCCUGUGAGGGUGAGCGAAUCUCGGAAAGCCGGUCUCAGUUCGGAUUGGGGUCUGCAACUCGACCUCAUGAAGUCGGAGUCGCUAGUAAUCGCAGAUCAGCAACGCUGCGGUGAAUACGUUCCCGGGGCU
rnacentral:rRNA from 1 species